GACGAACGCUGGCGGCGUGCUUAACACAUGCGAGUCGAGCGGAAAGGCCCUGCUUUUGUGGGGUGCUCGAGUGGCGAACGGGUGAGUAACAAGUGCGUAACCUGCCCUUGACUUUGGGGUAACUUCAGGAAACUGGGGCUAAUACCUGAUAGGUACUCCCGCUGCAUGGUGGGGGGGGGAAAUGUACGGCGGUUUGGGUUGGAAUAGUGGCUUUUCAGCUGGGUGGUGGGGUAGUGGCGUACGAAGGCGUUGACGGGUAGCCGGCCUGAGAGGGUGACCGGCCACAUUGGGACUGGGGUAGGGCCCGGAGGCAUACGGGAGGCAGCAGUGGGAAAUAUUGCAAGAUGGGCGGAAGCAGGAUGGAGCAACGCCGCGUGCGGGAUGACGGCCUUUGGGUUGGAAACGGCUUUCGGCGGUGAGGAAGCGUGAGUGACGGUACUGGGUAAAGAAGCACCGGCUAACUACGUG
rnacentral:rRNA from 1 species